AUGCCGGCUGGCGUCAAGUUCGAUCCCACAGAUCAGGAGCUGAUCGAGCACCUUGAGGCCAAAGUGAGUGCUGACAGCGCGAGAUCUCACCCUCUCAUCGAUUUGUUCAUACCAACCAUCGACAGCGAGCACGCCAUAUGCUACACCCAUCCUGAGAAACUUCCGGGUAUCACACUGAGUGGCCUAAGCAAGCAUUUCUUCCGGCGCAAUUCCAGGGCGUUCAAAAGGGGCACAUGGACGCGUCGCAAGAUACAGUCGGAGUGCGGCAUGCACGCGAUGUGGCACAACACCGGCAAUACCUUGCCGGUGAUGGUAAACGGCCGGCAGGCGGGCAGCAAAAAGGUUCUGGUGCUGCACACCAACAAGAACUUCGACCAGCGGAGGACCAACUGGGUGAUGCACCAGUACCACCUCGGGGACCUGGAGCAAGAGAAGGAGCGGGAGCUGGUCCUCUGCAAGAUUUUCUACCAGACGAACACAAGGGUCGGGAGUAAAAAGAUUACAAGCCCAGCCCAUGACGACAACGGGGCACAAAGAUCCAGCAGGGGAGUGACGACGGCGAACUUGGCGCGCGAGGCGAGGGACUUGGCGGUGGCAACCUGCUCGGGUGAUGACGUCGGCUGGUCCGACAGAGCUGGGGCCUCGAGGUGGAGCCGCACGAGGAGGCUCGGGAGGCAGGAGGCAGGUGGCAGCACUGGAAAGGGGAAGAAGAAGGGGGCAGCGGCGCUCAUCUUGGAUGAAUCUCGCCGGUGGCUCGCCGGACAGACGGGGGCGGCGGGGUUCGGCGCUGGUGUCGGAGACAAGCGGGACGAGGGCCUCGGCCAGGAGGCAGGCCGACGCGCGAGAUGA
rnacentral:rRNA from 1 species